rnacentral:rRNA from 1 species
AGCAGUAGCCGCGGGAAUACGGAGGGGGCUAGCGUUGUUCGGAAUUACUGGGCGUAAAGCGCACGUAGGCGGCUUGGUAAGUUAGAGGUGAAAGCCCGGGGCUCAACUCCGGAAUAGCCUUUGAGACUGCAUCGCUUGAACACGGGAGAGGUGAGUGGAAUUCCGAGUGUAGAGGUGAAAUUCGUAGAUAUUCGGAAGAACACCAGUGGCGAAGGCGGCUCACUGGACCGUUGUUGACGCUGAGGUGCGAAAGCGUGGGGAGCAAACAGGAUUAGAUACCCCAGUAGUCCCUGUCUCUUAUAC